rnacentral:snoRNA from 10 species
CGUGUAUGAUGACAACUCGGUAAUGCUGCAUACUCCCGAGUGCGCGGUGGGGAAGCCAACCUUGGAGAGCUGAGCGUGCG